rnacentral:lncRNA from 1 species
GAGUGAACAUGACUUAUGCAUGCAUAACCAAUCUCUAACGGGUUUAAUUGAAAGUCAUAUGAAAAGAGAUUCAAUGAGAUAUUUCUCUGCUUAUUUUGACAACAUUGUCUGCAUUAUUUCACUUUUAAUAAUGAUUGACCCAAACGAAAUCAUACAUGUAUUUUUUUUUUCUUCAUAUUUUGUAGCUAGUGCCCCUUUCAGAGUUCUAGUAGUUCUUAUAUUGUGCUUUUGCACUGCUGUCCCAGGUAAAGGGAGAGUUGAGGGCUCACAAAUAUGUCUGACCUUGCCACAUUAUCUUUGUCACAAGGCACAAGCCUGUAAUUCAGUAGUUAUAAAUGGUUGCUGUCUGUUGUAUUUGUUUAGUUUUUCAUGUUUGAAUUAUUUGAACUAUUAUUUUAGAAUCCUUGUUUAUCAUGUUUAUAUAUUAUUGAGGUGAAUUAGCCUUUGGAUACACAUUAGCAGCAGAAUGUUUGUCAAUAUUUUUACCCCACAGCAUUUUUGCACCAAUCUCAACAUGCUCAAGUCAGGAGCCUCUAACUUUAGGUUUUUCAACUGAAGUUCAUUUACAUGUUU